rnacentral:rRNA from 1 species
UACGAAGGGGGCUAGCGUUGCUCGGAAUCACUGGGCGUAAAGCGCACGUAGGCGGGUCGUUAAGUCAGGGGUGAAAUCCUGGAGCUCAACUCCAGAACUGCCCUUGAUACUGGCGAUCUCGAGUUCGGGAGAGGUGAGUGGAACUGCGAGUGUAGAGGUGAAAUUCGUAGAUAUUCGCAAGAACACCAGUGGCGAAGGCGGCUCACUGGCCCGAUACUGACGCUGAGGCGCGAAAGCUAGGGGAGCAAACAGG